AGCGCCCUGCGCCCCUUUCCUCUUCCUCCUGCCUCCUCGUAGGCUGGAGUGCAGCGGCAUGAACAGGGCUCCCUGCAGCCCCAACUUCCUGGGCCCAAGUGAUCCUCAUGCCUCAGCCUUCUGAGUAGCUGGGACUACAGGCACAUGUCACCACACCUGGCUAAUUUAUUUCUAAUUUUUGUUGUUGUUGAGAUGAGGUCUUGCUAUGUUGCUCAGGCUGGUCUUAAACUCCUGGGCAACUCUGGGACAUGGUUAAAGAGAUGUUUCACAAGUAACAGCAUGCUGUAGAAACCCUGAACCCCAAACUUACGGAUCCUCAGGAACACCCCAGACUUUAGAAGGAAAGUCAGAAGGUGCUGACACAGGUGCAUAACUAAAGGGAAAUCCUUCUUUCUCAGCUCCAACCAUGGCUGUGAGCUUCAUUCACACUGACUUAAAAAAAAAAAUCUCAGCUGUUUACUUAAAAGUAAAUAGCUUUUUCUAUAAUUCUGGUUUGCUAAUUUAAUUCUAAUCUCCAGACUCUGGCAAAAUACAUGCUCACUUUUUUUUUCUUUUUCUUUCUUUCUUUUUUUU
rnacentral:lncRNA from 1 species